GAAGAGAAGAUUGAUCUGGAGGCUUCCAGGUGUCGGGUUUUGCCCUUUUGGGUUUGAUCUGGCGUCCGAGCCCAGUUCUGCUGAAACCAUGGAUGGCCUAGCCGGCCGGAUAUGGUGGAGGGACUGGAGGUAGGAAGGAAGCUUGUCGCUCUGGAUCGUUUGUUGUUCGUUGUCCGCAAGGACGUCGUCUGAUGAACGAUCGGAUUACCGUUGCCUGACCGCGCGGUAUCGGAUCCAAUCUCGAGAAGCUGGUCUUAAGAUGAGAUCGCAAGCGGGCUGCUCGGCGUAGCUCCAAUAAAGCGAUCUUAUCGAACACGUCGAUGGCAUCAUUAGAAAGCAUUGGUUGUAAAAGGUAACCUCUGCAUUGCUGGUAAGGAAUUCCAGACCCAGCAAAGAUGAUGAGCAUUGGCAAUGAGAACGAUUAAGUGUCGUAAGGGCAUUUGGUGGAUGCCUUGGCAUGCACAGGCGAUGAAGGACGUGAUACGCUGCGAAAAGCCGU
rnacentral:misc_RNA from 1 species